rnacentral:lncRNA from 1 species
GUCAACUGUGAUGCCGCCUUGCUCUUGGCAGAUAUUUUCUCCGAAGAACUGAGCUUGUUGUACUUGUACACUCUUAGUGUACAACACGUAACACUCCAUUACUUGUCAAAAUCUGCCAACCAAGUAAAGCUGCUUCGGAGAGAGAGAGAGCGAGCGUGAAAGUCUUUACCAAAUUAUGAUGCACCAUUUCACCAAAAUGCCAUCUCCAAGUCCCUGAUGAAUCCCCAUUUCCAUUUCCACACUAUUGCAAGUCCAAUUUCGUGUCAAACCCCAACUUCAGUACCUUCCAAAUCUCUAUUGCAAACCCAUAUGCAGAGCGUCAGCCUCCGUUAUUCCACCGCCAGCAGACUUUGACUUCAAGAAUGAAAUUCUCAGAAAAUCCACAAGCUCAAUAGCCGAAACCCAUCCAGAGUUGCUCGAUUUGUCUCAUAAGGGGACCUUGGUUCUGAUUAACAAAAGUCAGUAUGGGCCAGUCCCACCAUGGAGAAACGAAUUCACAGAACCAGAGGACAUUUGGCUUAUUGGAACCACCCAUAUAUCCGAACAAUCGGCUUCUGAUGUUCUAAGGGUUAUCCGUGCUUUGAGGCGUGACAAUGUCGUUGGGGAGCUCUGCAGAAGCAGGCACGUUUUAGGCGUUUGCUUGUUCCUUUUCUCAUUUGGGAUUUCAGCUGAAUUAUGCGUUGAACCACAUGUUUGUAUAAGCGUAAAAAGUUUACUUAUAAGUUGAAAAACAAAUAAUUUUUCUUCAUUGGGGAUAGUUCAAGCAAUUGAGUUAUUCUGACAACCGGGCAACUGUAACUUGGGAAAAAUAAUAAUAAUAAUAAUAAUAAUAAUAAUAAUAAUAAUAAGGUAACAUUUUUGCCUAAAAUAAUAAGAUAAAUUAGUUAUUCAUGGUAUUUGGAGAUAUAGUAUUUGAUUGCCUAGUCAUGUGUGGGCAAGAUUUAUCUUCUCAUGGAAGACUAUAUAUGUGAAUAAAAUCGUUAAUGAAAUGAACUUGGGCAAGAUUUAUCUUCUCAUGGAAGACUAUAUGUGAAUAAAAUCGUUAAUGAAAUGAACUUCAGCAAAACUCUUGUUUGCUCUGAUGUCUUCUUGAAUCAACUCGUCUAAAUGCUUAGGCAGUUAGAAAGGGGACAAAUUUAUCUAUUAGUUCUGUCUUCAGCAUGAUGUGCAUUCAAGCAAUUUGUUAACUGGUUCUAUUUUUCUCUGUUUAUGAAUUUAAUUAUUAGCUAGUAUAUACGGGGUGUGGAAGCACUGGAAAUGGAAGGAUUAGUCCCAUAAAUUCAUGAGCAACAUGAGUAACUUUCAUCCAAAUUGGGGCACGUUCUUAAGUUUCUCUAGACUGCAUCUUGGCAUGUGUAAAACUUUAGUUUAG